GCUGGAGUGGCGGAAUUGGCAGACGCACUGGACUCAAAAUCCAGCGGAGUUCACUCUCCAUGUGGGUUCGACCCCCACCUCCAGCACCA
rnacentral:tRNA from 1 species